rnacentral:tRNA from 1 species
AGAGCUCAGUGGUAGAGCGACUGCUUGGCAUGCACAAGGUCCUGGGUUCAAUCCCCAGU